rnacentral:rRNA from 1 species
GACGAACGCUUGCGGCGUGCUUAACACAUGCAAGUCGAACGGAAAGGCCCUGCUUUUGUGGGGUGCUCGAGUGGCGAACGGGUGAGUAACACGUGAGUAACCUGCCCUUGACUUUGGGAUAACUUCAGGAAACUGGGGCUAAUACCGGAUAGGAGCUCCUGCUGCACGGUGGGGGUUGGAAAGUUUCGGCGGUUGGGGAUGGACUCGCGGCUUAUCAGCUUGUUGGUGGGGUAGUGGCUUACCAAGGCUUUGACGGGUAGCCGGCCUGAGAGGGUGACCGGCCACAUUGGGACUGAGAUACGGCCCAGACUCCUACGGGAGGCAGCAGUGGGGAAUAUUGCACAAUGGGCGGAAGCCUGAUGCAGCAACGCCGCGUGCGGGAUGACGGCCUUCGGGUUGUAAACCGCUUUCGCCUGUGACGAAGCGUGAGUGACGGUAAUGGGUAAAGAAGCACCGGCUAACUACGUGCCAGCAGCCGCGGUGAUACGUAGGGUGCAAGCGUUGUCCGGAUUUAUUGGGCGUAAAGGGCUCGUAGGUGGUUGAUCGCGUCGGAAGUGUAAUCUUGGGGCUUAACCCUGAGCGUGCUUUCGAUACGGGUUGACUUGAGGAAGGUAGGGGAGAAUGGAAUUCCUGGGUGGAGCGGUGGAAUGCGCAGAUAUCAGGAGGAACACCAGUGGCGAAGGCGGUUCUCUGGGCCUUUCCUGACGCUGAGGAGCGAAAGCGUGGGGAGCGAACAGGCUUAGAUACCCUGGUAGUCCACGCUGUAAACGGUGGGUACUAGGUGUGGGGUCCAUUCCACGGGUUCCGUGCCGUAGCUAACGCUUUAAGUACCCCGCCUGGGGAGUACGGCCGCAAGGCUAAAACUCAAAGGAAUUGACGGGGCCCCGCACAAGCGGCGGAGCAUGCGGAUUAAUUCGAUGCAACGCGUAGAACCUUACCUGGGUUUGACAUGGAUCGGGAGUGCUCAGAGAUGGGUGUGCCUCUUUUGGGGUCGGUUCACAGGUGGUGCAUGCCUGUCGUCAGCUCGUGUCGUGAGAUGUUGGGUUAAGUCCCGCAACGAGCGCAACCCUUGUUCACUGUUGCCAGCACGUUAUGGUGGGGACUCAGUGGAGACCGCCGGGGUCAACUCGGAGGAAGGUGGGGAUGACGUCAAGUCAUCAUGCCCCUUAUGUCCAGGGCUUCACGCAUGCUACAAUGGCUGGUACAGAGAGUGGCGAGCCUGUGAGGGUGAGCGAAUCUCGGAAAGCCGGUCUCAGUUCGGAUUGGGGUCUGCAACUCGACCUCAUGAAGUCGGAGUCGCUAGUAAUCGCAGAUCAGCAACGCUGCGGUGAAUACGUUCCCGGG